rnacentral:rRNA from 1 species
GAUGAACGCUGGCGGCGUGCUUAACACAUGCAAGUCGAACGGAGAGCUAUUUGACGGAGUUUUCGGACAACGGAUAUAGUUUCUUAGUGGCGGACGGGUGAGUAACGCGUGAGGAACCUGCCUUGGGAGAGGGGAAUAACACAGAGAAAUUUGUGCUAAUACCGCAUAAUGCAGUUGGGUCGCAUGGCUCUGACUGACCAAAGAUUUUAUCGCUCUGAGAUGGCCUCGCGUCUGAUUAGCUGGUUGGUGGGGUAACGGCCUACCAAGGCGACGAUCAGUAGCCGGACUGAGAGGUUGACCGGCCACAUUGGGACUGAGACACGGCCCAG